UGCAGCGGUAGUUCAGUUGGUUAGAAUACCGGCCUGUCACGCCGGGGGUCGCGGGUUCGAGCCCCGUCCGCUGCGCCAC
rnacentral:tRNA from 1 species